rnacentral:rRNA from 1 species
UACGAAGGGGGCUAGCGUUGCUCGGAAUCACUGGGCGUAAAGGGUGCGUAGGCGGGUUUUUAAGUCAGAGGUGAAAUCCUGGAGCUCAACUCCAGAACUGCCUUUGAUACUGAAAGUCUUGAGUAUGGGAGAGGUGAGUGGAACUGCGAGUGUAGAGGUGAAAUUCGUAGAUAUUCGGAGGAACACCAGUGGCGAAGGCGGCUCACUGGCUCGAUACUGACGCUGAGGUGCGAAAGCGUGGGGAGCAAACAGG